rnacentral:rRNA from 1 species
UACGUAGGGGGCGAGCGUUAUCCGGAUUCAUUGGGCGUAAAGCGCGUGUAGGCGGCCCGUUAGGUCGGGAGUCAAAUCCGGGGGCUCAACCCCCGCUCGCUCCCGAUACCGGGGGGCUUGAGUCUGGUAGGGGAAGGCGGAAUUCCCAGUGUAGCGGUGGAAUGCGCAGAUAUUGGGAAGAACACCGGUGGCGAAGGCGGCCUUCUGGGCCACGACUGACGCUCAGACGCGAAAGCUAGGGGAGCGAACA